rnacentral:rRNA from 1 species
GACGAACGCUGGCGGCGUGCCUAAUACAUGCAAGUCGAGCGCAGGAAACUGACGGAACUCUUCGGAGGGAAGGCAGUGGAGUGAGCGGCGGACGGGUGAGUAACACGUAAGGAACCUGCCUCAAGGAUUGGGAUAACUCCGAGAAAUCGGAGCUAAUACCGGAUAGUUCAACGGACCGCAUGGUCCGCUGAUGAAAGGCGCUUCGGCGUCACCUUGAGAUGGCCUUGCGGUGCAUUAGCUAGUUGGUGGGGUAACGGCCCACCAAGGCGACGAUGCAUAGCCGACCUGAGAGGGUGAUCGGCCACACUGGGACUGGGACACGGCCCAGACUCCUACGGGAGGCAGCAGUAGGGAAUCUUCCACAAUGGACGAAAGUCUGAUGGAGCAACGCCGCGUGAGUGAUGAAGGUUUUCGGAUCGUAAAACUCUGUUGUAAGGGAAGAACACGUACGAGAGGAAAUGCUCGUACCUUGACGGUACCUUACGAGAAAGCCACGGCUAACUACGUGCCAGCCGCCGCAGUAAAAC